rnacentral:rRNA from 1 species
GACGAACGCUGGCGGCGUGCUUAACACAUGCAAGUCGAACGCUGAAGCACCAGCUUGCUGGUGUGGAUGAGUGGCGAACGGGUGAGUAAUACGUGAGUAACCUGCCCUUGACUCUGGGAUAAGCCCGGGAAACUGGGUCUAAUACUGGAUGCUACAUGUCACCGCAUGGUGGUGUGUGGAAAGGGUUUACUGGUCUUGGAUGGGCUCACGGCCUAUCAGCUUGUUGGUGAGGUAAUGGCUCACCAAGGCGACGACGGGUAGCCGGCCUGAGAGGGUGACCGGCCACACUGGGACUGAGACACGGCCCAGACUCCUAAGGGAGGCAGCAGUGGGGAAUAUUGCACAAUGGGCGAAAGCCUGAUGCAGCGAAGCCGCGUGAGGGAUGACGGCCUUCGGGUUGUAAACCUCUUUCAGCAGGGAAGAAGCCACAAGUGACGGUACCUGCAGAAGAAGCGCCGGCUAACUACGUG